rnacentral:tRNA from 1 species
GGGACCGUGGGGUAGCUUGGUAUCCUUGCGGCCUUGGGUGCCGUUGACCCCGGUUCAAAUCCGGGCGGUCCCAC